rnacentral:rRNA from 1 species
GAUGAACGCUAGCGGCAGGCCUAAUACAUGCAAGUCGAACGUGAUUGUUGUAGCAAUAUGACAUGAAAGUGGCGCACGGGUGCGUAACACGUAUGCAAUCUACCUCUAAUAGGGGGAUAGCUUCGAGAAAUCGGAAUUAAUACCCCAUAACAUUAAGAAGUGGCAUCACUUUUUAAUCAAACCUCCGGGGAUUAGAGAUGAGCAUGCGGAACAUUAGCUAGAUGGUGAGGUAAUAGCUCACCAUGGCUACGAUGUUUAGGGGGUCUGAGAGGAUGAUCCCCCACACUGGUACUGAGACACGGACCAGACUCCUACGGGAGGCAGCAGUAGGGAAUAUUGGGCAAUGGAGGCAACUCUGACCCAGCCAUGCCGCGUGCAGGAUGACGGCCCUCUGGGUUGUAAACUGCUUUUAUACGGGAAGAAAAAAUACUACGUGUAGUAUACUGACGGUACCGUAAGAAUAAGGAUCGGCUAACUCCGUGCC